rnacentral:rRNA from 1 species
UUCCGGUUGAUCCUGCCGGACCUGACUGCUAUCGGAUUGAUACUAAGCCAUGCGAGUCAUUGUAGUAAUACAAGGCAGACGGCUCAGUAACGCGUAGUCAACCUACCCUAUGGACGGGGAUAACCUCGGGAAACUGAGAAUAAUACCCGAUAGAACAUUAUGCCUGGAAUGGUUUAUGUUUCAAAUAAUUUAUUGCCGUAGGAUGGGACUGCGGCCUAUCAGUUUGUUGGUGAGGUAAUGGCCCACCAAGACUAUUACAGGUACGGGCUCUGAGAGGAGUAGCCCGGAGAUGGGUACUGAGACACGGACCCAGGCCCUAUGGGGCGCAGCAGGCGAGAAAACUUUGCAAUGUGCGAAAGCACGACAAGGUUAAUCCGAGUGGUUUCUGCUAAAGGAACCUUUUGUCAGUCCUAGAAACACUGAUGAAUAAGGGGUGGGCAAGUUCUGGUGUCAGCCGCCGCGGUAAAACCAGCACCUCAAGUGGUCAGGAUGAUUAUUGGGCCUAAAGCAUCCGUAGCCUGCUUUGUAAGUUUUCGGUUAAAUCCAUACGCUCAACGUAUGGGCUGCCGGGAAUACUGCAAAGCUAGGGAGUGGGAGAGGUAGACGGUACUCGGUAGGAAGGGGUAAAAUCCUUUGAUCUAUUGAUGACCACCUGUGGCGAAGGCGGUCUACCAGAACACGUCCGACGGUGAGGGAUGAAAGCUGGGGGAGCAAACCGGAUUAGAUACCCGGGUAGUCCCAUCUGUAAACUAUGCAAACUCAGUGAUGCAUUGGCUUGAUGCCAAUGCAGUGCUGCAGGGAAGCCGUUAAGUUUGCCGCCUGGGAAGUACGUACGCAAGUAUGAAACUUAAAGGAAUUGGCGGGGGAGCACCACAAAGGGUGAAGCCUGCGGUUCAAUUGGAUUCAACGCCCGGGA